AACUUGCAACAAUGUAUCUCUUGGCUCUCGCAUCGAUUAAGAACGCAGCGAAAUGUGAUAAGUAAUGUGAAUUGCAGAAUUCAGUGAAUCAUCGAAUCUUUGAACGCACCUUGCGCUCCUUGGUAUUCCGAGGAGCAUGUCUGUUUGAGUGUCAUGAACUCUUCAACCCUCCAUUUCCUCGUUUGAAAUGUUUGAGGUGAUUGGAUUUUGAGUACUUGCUCUUUUAUCAAAAUUAGCUUACUCGUAAUACAUUAGCACAAUUCAACUUCGAACUCGGAUUGACUCGGCGUAAUAGACUAUUCGCUGAGGACAUUGAGAAUUAAUUUUCUCUAAUGGCCGACUUUAGACGAUUUGAAUAGCUUCAAAUACUAUUAAACCUUUUUUAAGAUUAGACCUCAAAUCAGGCAGGAUUACCCGCUGAACUUAAGCAUAUCAAUAAGCGGAGGCU
rnacentral:misc_RNA from 1 species